GCAAACUUGGUCAUUUAGAGGAAGUAAAAGUCGUAACAAGGUUUCCGUAGGUGAACCUGCGGAAGGAUCAUUACUGAAGAAAUGAUAGAGUUGAGCUGACUCCUUAGAGUAUGUGCUCGCGCUAUCGCUUUUUCUAUUCUCCACUGUGAACCCUUUGUAGACUUGUUAUGAUAUUUGGCUUCUUUUACAGGAAGUUCAUUGAGACUUGCACUUCGGUGCUUGACUCUGACCUUAUCAUAUCAGUCUAUGAUUUUAAUAUCAACUCUUUAGUUUAUGAAUGUCUUUUUGUUGGUUGUAACACCAAUAAAUUACUAUACAACUUUCAGCAACGGAUCUCUUGGCUCUCGCAUCGAUGAAGAACGCAGC
rnacentral:misc_RNA from 1 species